CACUGUGUCAGGUAAGAACAUACGUUAGCACACAGCUCCAUGCUACGCAUCAAACCUGCUCGCUUUCAUCAUGUUCUAACAAUAGGAAGCCCUAAGGGUGGUUAAAAUAAAUUUUAACAAUUGCCUUUCUGAAGACGUAGUAAGCUUAUAAAGCAAAUGUUAACUUACGCGUUUAGUUCAAACAUAUGAUGGGUUUAUAACUGUGGAAUGGUUUGAGGGGAGUUUGUCUAGUAGAGCUGAUACUAAAAGUAACAUUUUUUAAGCAAGCCUGAAAAGCUCCCAUCAUGCUGACAUCAGGGACUUCCCAAAGUGAGUAUAACCCAGGCAGGCUCGGUGUUCUGUGCCAGGAAACUCUCACUUCAGGAGUCUCCAGCACUCAUGAGUUCCAGGGAGUGGGUGAGGGAAAUUUAAAAAUAAUUUAAAAUGGAGCUGUGCUUCUCAGCUGUAGCAUGGGCAUGCUAAAUCAUUGCUUUGUAACUCUGGUUGCAGUGUCAGUGCUCCUGAUCUGCAUCUGUCCUGUAUAUCCAAAGGCAUGAUGUUUGUUUGCCCCUCAGAGAUGAUAGCGCUAUUGUGAAAACAGACCCCAGCUUUCCUCUGCGCACACUCAGCCCUUCACUGCAGCGUGGUGCACUGCUGCGGCCUGAGUGCCAGAGGUGGUGUGAGCAGGGAAAGGCACAUCAGUCAGCCGUGUCUUAUUCUCUGCUUUCUUUUUGCUCCCAGGUAACUGCUGACCUAUACAAACUGUGUGUGUUGCUCACUAUGCAGGCCUGGCUAGCACACGCAGCAGUUUGGAAGCAAAGUUCUGCCUAUCUGCAGUAACCAUCUGCUCCGUGAGGAACAAGGAGAAGCAGUCCAAACCUUUCCUGUGAUGCAGGCCUGGGAACUUGAUAGUCCAGAUAAAGAUGAAAAGGAAGAGAUGGGAAGCUUCUCCUUAGUUGCACAGUAGAAAUCACUGUCUAGCUGUAAGUCACAUACUACAAGUUUCCAGGAAGGGCAGUAUGAUAUGCCUGUGUCAAACUGUCACUCUAUCUUGCACUGUGCUCUCUGACUUGUAUUACAGCAAGAGCCAAGCGCAAGACAGUGUGCUACAGACAGUUUGCCCGCUGAGAGGAUCCCUUGACAUCUUGUCCCUGAGAACCUGAACACCAGCUUGGCUUGCCUCUCACAAGUUGGCCCAGCUAGCUGGGAGAUUGAACUUUCUGUGGAAGUGUCACUGAUAACUGAUGACAUCUGACGCUUUUCAGCCUAAAUACAUGGCAGAGUGGCAAUCUGCAUUCAAAGCAUGGUUGGCUAUAUCUGUGCAAAGAUGACUGCAGAAUAAGAAUACAAUAGGCGCUUUGUCUGCUCAAGAGCAUUACGUAUUUUAAACCUGGAAAACAAUGAAAUCAGACAGGAAUUGGCAACCUCAGCACCUUCAUUAGUACUAUUUUUGAAUUAAAAUUUCCAUACUCUUUGGAAUUUGAUGGCUGUGAUUAAAUAAGCCCCUUCUCCAGCUAGAAAAAGAAAAACUAGAAACAAGAAGAGCCUGCACUCAGGUAAGGACUGAUGAAGAAUGAGCUCAAAGUGGAACCAAAGUAUUCAUGGAAGAGGAGUGCAUGAGAUCUAGAGAAGAUGGGAUCUGUUAAGUGCUAGUGGGUCUGCAGACAGUUAGGCUGUUUAGAGGUGGAUUGGGCCAUACUGUUGCACUGAAUAUCUCUAAAUGAACGUCCUUAAUUACCGCUAAUACAGCUAGGAGGAAAAGAGUGAAUUGCAGUUCUAAAAUCUGUUUGUAGUGAUCUUUCAUUUCAUGAGCUGUUCUGUCCUUUGUUGUAACUUCCAAAGUUUUAAUUAUUCUUGCCCAUAGUUAAAAUUAUGCCUGUGUGAGUAAAUGUCUGUUGUCUCUUAUGUCAGAGAUAAUUGGUGGCUGCCUCAAGAGACUAGAUAGAUUCAUUAUCUCUACGUAUGGUAGGAAGAAAAACUGUCGGAUUUUAUUUAAGCUUUGAAGAGGCUGCAAAAAGGUUAGAAAUUGUCACAAAGAGAGCAUCAGUUUGCUAAGCAAGGUCCUACAUGUUGCUACAUAGUGCACUUUAGAUUGAUCCAUCUCUUAUUUGUCUUACAAAGCAUAAAGGAUUUAUGGCUCUCUUCCUGAUGCCUGUAGAUCUUCCAAAAUGUAAGUAUGUCUUAUUGGACUCUGUCAUUUUGAAUCUGUGGGAGGUCUGUCAAAUACACUGAGGUAUUUUCCAUGCAAAAUCUGUGAUGCAUCUAAUGCUAUCACUUGCUAAGGAUAGGACCAGUGAAGGAGUAAGUACAGCUGUUCAGCAAAUGUUACAAGAAGCAUGUUCACUUUUACACGUCUUAUGUUAUCUGUUACUGUAUUUUUCUGUUGUGAUAGCACUAAAUGGUCUGAUGGAGUUUGAAGUUGUGCUGAAUGGGGUGUUCUAAGAAUGCAGGUGAGAGAAACUCCUGGUUCAGAGAGCCAGCUGCUGAAGGUCCUGUUAGCACUGAACAGGAAUUUCACUUGAUGGAAUAACUGGCUGCAUUGUCCUAUCCCACUGGCUUGUACCAGUUCAGGUAUUCACCAAACCUACAUCACUGGAACAAGUAGCUGGUUUUGUUCGGCCUGCUGCAGAGCCUCAGCUCAGAGGUGCAGUUACUUGUUCCAGCUCAUCACAAAAUGUAGAGGAGUCCUCUCCUCUUCUCGCUCCUCCUGUCUCUUGCUAAAUACACAGUUGUUUACCAGUCGCCUUUGCUUUAGUUAUGGCUCUCAGGACUUUUCAUUUAGCCCAUUGAACUUGCUAGUUCAGCAGAAAAUUCUUUGCCUGCUUUUCUCAGGCCUCUUUUCUGAUGACUAUCUAGUGUAAAAUCAGGUGAGUUCUUGUGGUGCAGAGGAAGAUUUGAGGCAGAUGAAGUGACUGAGGUCAUGGUGGGAGUUGGCCACACCAGGAGCUCCUCCUUCAUUAGCGGCUUAUGCCAGAUCAGCUCAGAUCGUAACGUCACCUCUCCCCAGCAACCUCACUAGAGGUGCAGUUGAAGCAUAGGUCAGAAAACAGAGGUGUGGGGUGCUGGGAAUUAGCUCAGGAAGCUUGCACUCACCAGGCUGUGCUGUCUUAGCUCUUUAUGAUCUUUGUGAACUUGUGGUGGCGUUUUGAGAAUUACAGCUGCUACAGAGAGAAGGGUAAUAGAUCUUAAGGAAUGUUUUCCAUUUUCAAUUCAGCUACCUUUCCUGACUUUUCUGUGGGGAUGAAUUAUUUGAGAAUAAAAGGAGAAGAUAGAGUAUUAGUAAGAAAGACAGAUACUUUCACUGAGAGGGUGGCAGUGCACAGUAGGACAGGGUGGUGGCCUAAGGAGAUGUCCCAGUGGCAUUUGCUGGAAUCCAGAGAAGUUUGAAUGGCCCCUUUGUGCUGAGCUGUCGUGUGUUUGAGUCCACCAUGUGCAAGUGGGGAAAUGAUCAAAAUAUAGCAUGUACUUGAUGUAAUGGUGUCUAUGGAAAAAAAGGACUAAAUCUGCUACAGAUGUUGACAUAUUGCAGGCUUAUGACACUAGUGGAGAACUAGCUUGUCUCAAUUAACACACAAAGCUGGCAAACAUAUGAAGAGGAAAAACUCCCCAGCAGAUAUGGACCAUUUCCACUGGUUAGCCAGCUUGCUCUUCUCUCAAAUCCAGAGUGUCAUACCUUUGUGCAAUAGAGUUGGAUGGUGAAACACAAUCGUCUCAUAUUUUGGCAGCAUUUAUGGUUAAGGAAUCUGGUUAUCUGCUAAAACCUAAUUUUAAGUAAGUUUUUGUGCUGAGUAUCUGUACCAGGUUGGGAAACUGCUAAUACUGGUGAAGAAAACAGCAAGGAGGUUUGCAUUCUUACAGUUUCAAAAGGCUUUCCUUCCAGUCAGCUUGGCACCAUAGCAAUGUAUUUCCAUCCUGUUUGGGUUUCUCAGACAGGAAUUUUAUGUAAGAGCAAAUGAGGGAACCCAUAAAGUACAUAUACUAUUACGUGAGAUAAUCUUUUAAAGCAGUAGCAUGACAUUUUCUUCCAUGUUUGGCAUACCUGAGAAACAGAGAACUUCAUUGCAGAGUAGCAUGUAGAAGAACAGUCAGUUCCUGGUGCGAUGUAAUGUGCACAAAGAGGCAUACCAUCCUCCUGUAGGUCUUUCAGUUAGAUGCAGAAGAGCAUUUAUUUGUUAUUAUUUGUUAUGUGAUUACAUCUUUUGAAGAGAAGUUUUAUUGGUCCUUUUGCUCUCAGUAGAAAUUUUGUUGUCGUCAACCAGGAAGUGAAAUUUACCUCACUAUUGUUUGGGCUGUAGCAGUUAGCUUGCAGGGUUAGGAGGGAAAUGACCAAUGAAAUUUGCUGCAAUCUUCGUUUGUUAUUUAUUUGUGGUAAUAGCCUCUGUCAUACAACUAAUCACUUUAUAAGUGUUCAAGAAGGACGUUUUUAGCUGUAGGGGACUCACAGUAUAAGGUCAAGGGAAUGGGGAAACAGUGACAGAGAAUUUAGAGCUUUGAAGGUGAUGACAAGAAGCUUAAAUUUGACAUGACAGAAGUGGAAGGCUUCAAAGAGGAAGUGACUUGACAGGAUCGAAUUGACAGGUGAAGAAGAUGGCUGUUGCAGCUGUGUAAUGCGUGGAAUGAGGGGAGCCUUUUUAGCAACUCAGAGAACAGAGUUUACAAGUGAUCAAGGUGAGGUGUAAUGAGGGCCUCAGUUGGGAGGCUUGACUGUAGGAAAUAUCAGCAGGAUCAUGGAGAUGUUAGGAAUUAAGUUGCCUAGAAUUUAAGUGUGACUCAAGUGCACACGGAGAGAGGAAGAAGUGACAAUUAACUCUGAGAUUGUAAGUAUAGGUGAAGGUGAAAUCAGUUGAGUUGUCAUCUUUGAUAAAGAAAUAGGAAAGCAGAAACAGUGGUUGGAAGACAAGAUGUUACUGUUGUGGCAGUGUUAAAUAAUAUUCACAUACUUUGUUACUGGACACAGCAAGAUGAAAUUGUACAGUGAAAUGUCUUUCACUUCAGUCUUCCAGGCUAUAGAACAGAGAUACAAAACUCAUCUUCCACUGUGAGCAAGUCAUCAACAGCACUGAGCUUAACAACAUACUCUACGUAAGACACAGGAGGAAUUUAGAGAUGGAAAAUUGCAUUUGAUGUGAACUGGGUUCAAAACCUCUCAGAUAAAGUAACAUGAAUUUUUUGACUGAUGAGAAAAAAAUCUAUUUCAAGUCCCAAUUGGGAGUUAGUGAGAUAGAGAUGAACUGUAUCUAGAUGAAAUUUAGGCUUCUUGGCUAAAGGAAGGGCGUCACAUUCUAAAAGAUUUCAGCUAUCUUCCCUGUGCAGUUAGAAGCACUCUAGCCUGAUGAGCCAAGGGCCUUACUGAAAGAAAAGAGCUGGUACAAAUGAUGGCAAUUUAGUCAUUUUCAGAAGUUGGUUUUUGUUUGUUUUUUUUUUUCUCCUCUUUUUAGUAGCUGAUUUUCUUCUUUAGUGGAUAUUUUGAUUGCACACAGAGGGACAACUGUUAGAGGAAUCAUUUUGGAGGCACCCUAAUGGUCUACUUGAAUGCUAGGGCUGUCCUCAGUUUGAGGAGGGUUCAGAGUUGGAGCUUAUCAAAAGAGUUUUCAGAUGACUAUAAAAGAGCCUGCGAAAGCAGUCUGAACCUCCUAUCCCUAUUUCCUCUAGAAGGUAGACUUGCAGGGACUAAUAGGAUGAGAAAGGAGUAAGCAGAGGGACAUUGCUGCUGCUUGACUACCCUCUCAUCCUCUGGAGUUUGUCUGUUUGCUCCUCUAACCUGAGGCUAGCAGAUAGGUACUUGAUUUUGGUUUUGGUUGGAUUUUUCUGUCUUUUUUUGUUUGGUUGGUUGUUUUUUUUUUUUUCCCCCAAUGAAAUGGUGGAGUAAAAUACACUGUGUCCAGUGACAUUGUGUCUGUGGGUUUCUUGCCUCAGGAGCAGUCUAUUCGCUGUAGGCAUAAUAGCCACUACUGUGAUUUUUCUCUCCCUUCUUCCCAGCUACUCUGUUUUAAAAGGAAUUGGCUCUUUGGGUUGUCCUACUUGAUGGACAUUUAAUUUUGAGGCAGUACCUAUGGAGAAGAUGCACAUUUCAUCUGUCUCACCCCUUAACUGCUCUGAAGUUUGAAGCAAUUUCUUCUUGGCUGAGGUCAGAGGAACAGCUGAAACUAAUGAAGUGGGUGUUUUCAGUUAAUUUAUCCAUAUACUUUUGUUCUGGUUGCAUAAUUUACAGGAUAUGCAGUCUGCGAAAGAAAUGAUUCUGUUGAAGGUUAAAAUCAUAUGUUAUUUUAAAAAAAUGCAGGGAGGGAAUUUCUAGAAAAAUCAAAUUAACAGUCAGAUAGUAUGUAAAGAUACUGCAAAAUACGUUGUUGCCAACAUAAGAAUAUAUGGAAAGACAGAUAAUUUUAACCAGUCUUACUGCGUAACAAAAAUUAUGAUCUGUCAGCCUGUCUUUUUUUGUGAUUCUUUCCUUAGCCUUGAGCUUUAUGAAACACAUUUAUUUUAAUUUUAUAUCACCAUCCAAAUAACAUGGUGGCUGAAUGUCAGACUAGAGUGAAAUAUGCUCUCUUCUACUGUGGCCUUUCACACAGGCUUUUAAUUCCCUGUUACUGCAGAACAUCUCUUGCCUGAACUCUCAUAGUAAAAUGUGCUGUAGUUCACUUUGUUUCUUAGGUGUUUAUGAGUUGCUGCUCUCUAGGAGUAGAAAAAUUCACAUUACUUUAUAAACAUAACGUGUUUUGUUUGCCUGUGGUAACCAGAAGGUGCUAGUUUUUUCAUGCUGUUUUUUUUUAUUAUUAUUAUUAUUAUUUUGAAAUAAUGGCUGAUGGGACAGGAGUAAUAGAAAAUUCCCUUUAAGAUGGAGUAUCUCCUGCAUGAUGGAUAUCAUGUAUAAAAGGCAGAAGGAGGAAAGAGAGAUAACGUAUCAUCAUUGCUAUGAUAGAAACCGCAGGCUUCCUUGGAGUCAUUGACAUUACUACAAAUAAAAUUAGUGGGCUGGAGCUGUAUGGACAUGUGGCCAGUCUGAACGUGAACAUGUUCAAUUGGAUUUUUAUUGUGAUAAGGUUGCAGAGACUAUGCCAACAUCCACCAACUACUGUGUAAGGGAAAUGGAGCUUAAAGCAUUUAUUCAUAUACGCUGUGUUUUCACUGCACGAACUACGUAAUAUUGCAUGUGGUUCCUGUGAUAGCCACUUCUUUGCUUUCACACUGGCACAAUGAAGAUUUCCAGGUAAUAUUAACUCACUUUCUUUUUUUCCUAAGCUCAGUACAGCUAUGUGAUUGUAUAAUCCAGCUCUCAGUUUACAAAGUCAUGGUACUGAGUAAUGAUGUCUUAGUGGGUUUUAGAGUCCCUUUCUCUGGAAAUAUCCUGGAGAGGAUAGCAUAGGAAGGGAAAAAGCACAGCUAUAUGAUUAUACAUUCAUAAUAAAUAUUUGUCAUACUAAGUUACAUUUUAUAUACUUAAAUACCACUUUUUGUCGGCCUCUUCUCUCGUGUGGCUAGUGAUAGGACUAGAGUGAAUGGCUUCAAGCUGCAUCAGGGAAGGUUCAGGCUGGACAUUAGGAAAUACUACUUCUCUGAAAGGGUGGUCAGGCACUGGAAUGGGCUGCCCAGAGAGGUGGUGGAGUCACUGACCGUGGAAGUGUUCAGAGAACGUUUGGAUGUUGUGUUGAGAGGCAUGGUUUAGCAAGAACCAUUGGUGAAGGGCGAAUGGUUGGACUGGGUGAUGCUGUGGGUCUUUUCCAACCUUAGCGAUUCUAUCAUUCUGUGAAUAUUGGUAACUUCUAGAUGCUAUGACUUCUAAAGUUUUUCCAAAAAAUAGUACUGGUAAAGAGAGACAUUCAAGACAAAUUUUGUAAUGUGCUGCAUCUUCUGAAAUAUACGAUUUUUUGGUAUUUCUUUAUAUGUUCUUGGGAAAUAAAUUUUUCCAUAUGUUUUGAGGCAAUAGCGAUUUAGAAGUCUCUGUCCCUAAUGCCCUAAGAUAUAUGAUCACAUGCUGCUCUCCAUGUAUUAAAACUGACUGUUGAGUAUGGAGAAAUGUAGCAAAAAAAAAAAAAAAAAAAAGAAAGAAAAAAGAAAAAAAAAGCUAUUUGUAGGCUUCAGAAGGCAAAAGGAAAGCUGAAGAGAUCAUUUUCUAGGUAUCUACUUCAUGCUCUCAUUUCAUAUGAGAUAAAUUUUAAUAAAGUCUUCGUUAGUUUAGAAAAAAAAUAAAUCCCAAAUCCUUUAUUCAGAGAUUCAAAGAAACAGCAUAUGGUUAUGCUGGUAAAGCAUAUGGAGACCCUUAUGUAAAGACAAAACAAAAGCAAAAUAAAGUUUCUGGCUGGACCCCCGAGGUGCAGUGCAUGGAAGGUUGGUGGGAUGUUGCCAGUUCCCUUUUUUUUUCUGGAAGACAAAAGUUUCUUCAUCUCCUAAACAAGUGAAAACAUGUAACACUGGUAGUAUACAUCUGGUAGCAGGGGAGAGUUGCACGCCACUUCAGUCUGUGCUCUCACACUGGUUAUUUUCACUUAGUACUCAGAAAGGAGUGGUGUUAAAAAUUAACGGCAAUUACUUCCUGACACAAGCUGGGUCAUUCCACACAGUACAGUUCUCUCCGGUUGUGUGUUUGCAGUACAAAGAUUGCUUCUAUAGGAACCUUCCUUCUGUUAAGAAAGAUCUUCACCCUGAAGUAAUGUCUUUCCACUGUAGUAACUUCACUGCACUUGCAAAUAAAACUUAACUGGCGAAACCCACAAAUACAGUUCAAUGCAGUUACUGCUGCUCUGAAUUUUAUGCAAAUUCUUUGGAAUUUUUUACUUCUUUAGUAAUGGUUUCUGUCUCCACUUCUUUUUUAUGGAAGCCAUUUAUAUACACGAGCUGUGCCAAGGUAAACAUCUACUUAAAAAAAAAAAAACAAAAAAAAAACUUUUUUUUCCCCUGAAUAUAAUAUUUACAUAUUAAUAGCUUUCUCUGAGCUUAUUUGAAUCAGCCUCUGGUAGCUGUGCUGUAACUGACACGCAGUCAUUAGUAAAUGAAACAUGUCAAGAACUGUUAUGUCAUAUCAUGUCCAUUCACUCAUAAUACAUAUUUAUGUUCUCAUCUUCCAAAGCAGAUACACUGUGGUUUAUAGGCAGAUUGCAGAUCAGGUGCCAUCUUCAACAUGUACAAACUCAUGGACCAUGGGAGGUAGUUGUUAGGCAGUGCACUGGUCAUCACAGCCUAAAGCCAUGUCACAGUGCUUUCAAAGUACAGGCAGUAGAGUUUUGGUAUCCUGGAACAUUCCUUGGCAUGGUAACAAUUGUACUUCUAGUCCAGUCUGCCUCUGGACUAUAACUAACUCUGAUUUUGAGUAAUUUUUAGAGAAUAUUGCUUGACAGAAGGCACAGGACCUCCUCAUGGAGUGUUAAUGGAUUUCAAAGUAAUCUUUUUUAUCUUCAUCUCUUUUGUUUUGUUUUUAUAGCAAUAGAACUUGAAUUUCCCAGAUAACCUUGGUUUUCCUUAAAUACUGAAAACAUUUCUGCCUCUUACUAUAAAUGAGGAAAGCUAAAAAAGCCAAGCAAGCUAUGUCCGAGUGUGUCAGUCAUCGUAGUAAUCUGCAACUGCUUGAUUCAGAAUUCAUAAAUGAUCUUUACUUUUAUUGCCAGUCAGUUGUACAAAACGGGUUUGCAUUGCAUUUUUCACUUCUGUAACUGCUCUUCAGGGUCAGACAGAUGGUUAGAAACAAAUGGAGAAUGUAUUUGCUCAGCGAGAGGAGCUAAAAAACUUUGCAAAGACAUGUUGAGAACUCACAGACAUAAUCUAGAGAGUGAAGCGCUGCUACAGAUAGAGGAAUGUGUUUUUCUUUCACACUCUUAGCCCCAUCAUCAAUGUGAUCAAAUCAAUAUUAUGCUACUGUAUCGAAGGAUAAAAAGGAUUAGGGAAACAUGCUGAGCACCAGCUCUUCAGAUGUCUGUGCUAUGCUAUAGAGGAGGGUGCGAGCUGGAGUUUGCAAUGACCAGGAGAAGUUCAGGAAAGAUCUUAUUUCUUCUACUACCCCCCAGUGUAUCAGUCGUUCUACAGAAGGUUUUGGGUACAUGAGAGAAAGUGAGCUGCUGCUCCGUGACACAGUUGAAGAAGGAAUAUAACUUUCAUUCUAGCUUUAUUACCGAAUGCUACUUCUAAUAAAUAUUUUUGUCCCAUGGCAGUUUAGAUAUGCCAUGUUAUUAAGAGGCAAACAGGAGAAGAAUGGAGAAGCUGGAAAUUACAAGACUGUCUGUGCGUGAAGGCAAUUUUCCAGAAGACUUACAUUGCUAAUGCACUCAAAUCUUUCUAAUAUGAUGCUGCAUUAGGUUUUUUUUUUUAUAUAUCUGCCAGUUCAAAUUAUUGUGAUACGAUGAAAAAAAAUGAAGGAUUUUUCAGCUAUUUUUAUUUUAUUUUCAGGUAUUUUUAUUUUAUUUUAUUUUCAGGUAUUAUCACAAGCAGUAGGUAGCAGUGGCAUUUCCUCUACAGGUAUAGAAGUGAUUUCAUUUAGGGCUUUGACCCUCAGGUAGGUUUGACCCUCUUGGUCCAAAAAAAAAUCUUGUUUCUGUAGUACAAUUGGCUAAAUCAGUGUGAAGGCACAUACCAUCACAGCUAGGAGUAGAUAGAGUUCCUUCUAUUGAAUGCUCAGAUAGCAGAUCUGGAUGGGUCCUAACCUGCUAAUCCCCAUGUUCUGAACCUCCCCACCUAGUCCAUAGAUAAAAGUAGUUUCCUUUGUUUCUUGCUUUGCUUGGUCCCAGUGACAUGUGAUAAUGGUGACGGCUCUCUGCCUCUUAGUUCUCUGUGGUGAUUUGGCCCCCCAGCUGUUAUUAGUUCCCUGAAGAUAUUCUAGCUGUGAAAGCAUCAUCCUCAAAUGUUAAUGACUCUGUUGUGCAAGCUAUGGUAGGUGAAUUUUUCUAUGUAGAUAAGAGAUAUUGGAUUCCGGGUGCAGUGAGGCAUUUACAAACAGUUUUAUAAAUCAGCCAAAAAGAAUCAAUUGUAAAUACAGGGUUGCUUAGAAUAGUUGGAUAGGCUGAGGUAGGGGAGCCUUAAUAUAGAAAUAAAAGAUAAUACAUUAUUUUUGCCUUCUGUAAAGACUCAGAUACAUGUACUUCAAUUUUACAGUGUUGUUUUUCAGAAUGAAAGUAACAUUUCUGGUUUCCUGUGUGUGGUAUCCUUCUGUUAGGAAGACUUGUUCAGGCUGUUAAUCCCAAGCUAGCGAUGUUACUUUUGGCAGCCAGAAUUGCAGAUAAUUUAACAUUCAGAAUUACCAGAAUGCCAGGAGGAAAAAUAAAUGUAAAGUGGCAAAAAAAAAAAAAAAAAAAAAAAAAAAAAAAAAAGCUUGAGAGCUAUUUUGUAAGAAAUGCCCUUAAGAAGCUGAAGAUUGGAGCUUUUUGACUCUCUUCAACUUUCACAUACGUGAUGUCCAGAUGUUACAAAACAUGUCUUCGACAUAAAAGUUGUUGUGUUUCCUGGCCACCUAGUGCUCCAUGUGCCGAGGUUCAGUCACGUUGAUAAGAUUCAGUAGCAGUAUCAAAUUGAUGGGAGCAUGGGAGGAAGAUGAACAAUCAAUUAAUUAAGAUACUUUUAGCUGCUUCUUACCACUAGCAUGACCAUGUGCUUAUUUUAUGCCUCUGACCUUGUGACUUCUUAAGAGGAUGCUUACUUCAGGAAUGGGUGGUAAAGUGUGUGUUUGCAAAUUUUUAAAAGCACUAGUUUUUGCGACAGAGGAACAAACAAACAAAAAAACAUAAUUAAAAAUGGAAGCAAUUUGCUUUACAUAGAAAAAUAUCAUUAUCAAAUAGAUGAAUGUCGAUUUUAAAUAAACUGUAGCAAUCUAAAAUGUAUGGAAACUCAUAAACUGCCACUACAUUAAAAUAAAAAAAAAAAAGAAGAAACCUGCACUCUUCUAAACAAGUACAAAUGAAUUUUUUUUAUUUGUCAGAUUGACUAACUGAUGUUUUUUGUCACCAGAGCUGUUUUUACAAGAUAAGACAAGUAUCUAGUUCAUCAUUUUUAGAGCUUGCCCUGUUGUUGCUGCUGCUAUUGCUAUUUCCUUCUUUUUCUCCCGUAUCUUCCCUAAUCUCACUGUAAUCAGUCCCACUUCAUCUCCGAAGAUCUUUUCUUCAGACCGUAGUCUAUUGUAGGAAUUAAUGCAAGUGCACCAUUAAGAAGAUGAUAGCGAUGUUCCCGUGCCUUUCUAUGCAAUGAAACAGUAUUACUGAAGAGUAAAGGUUUCAUACUGAAAGCUAUUUUUUUAUUUCACAUGUAUCUGCAUCCUUACUUUUCAGUGCUCGUGCACUGUCUGCCUAUUCUUUUGUCUUCUGUGUUAUUAACUCUGAAAUGAGUGAGAUUGCCUGAUUCUUUAUUGUUCUGUAAACUGUGAUGUUCCCGGACUUGAGAAUAACACUGUCAUGACUGCUGACAGGACACUGAUUUCCAAGAGACAUUGCUUGCAUAGCUUUCUCAAGGAGCUGGAGUUUGUCCUUUAGCUACACACAGAGCUGAGAGGAGUCUCAGUGGGCUACAGGAGGUCUUCAUGAAUACUUGCCAUAACUUCACCCUCACAGUUUCUGUGUCUAGGGAAAGGUGCUGAGUGUCUGGGUGUUAACUCUAGAUCUUGUGCAGGGGCUUCAUUUGUUGCAUCAUCUGGUGAAAAGCAAGCAGCUGAAGCUGAGUAAUGAACACCCCAUUUCCACUUUGCAAAAGAGAAGUGGGAGUUCUCUGUUUUCUUUCCUUCUCUUUCAGCAGCUGCUCCACUUCUCCCCCAUUUCAACCUGGGAAGAUAUAUUUCCUUGAGUGCUGGUAUUAGAAUACCAGUGGUUUCAGGUUGCUUCCAUUUGUCUCUGUUGAUGUAGCUAAAAUUAAUUUUGAAUGAUGAGUUAUUUCAGUUACAUGGCCUUUUUUUUCUGGAUGUCUUCAGAAAGAAUUCUUACCUUUCCUAGCUACACAUGCUGAAAUUGUUGCUUUCCACAAGCAUGUUAUUCAUUGGUUUAAAAUAGAAAAAUUUCCCUUUCCAAGGGUACAAGAAAUCUCACUAUGUCUACUGUUAUCUGGAUAUUUUUUUUCCAUCUGGUUUCCUAAUAAUGAUAGGUUGUGAAAAAAGGAUGUUUAUAUUUGCAGCUAUAAUGAACUGCAUGAUCAUGUGAAGAAUUGGUGGGGUCCUGCUGGGGAUAAUUCAGGAAGGAGGAAGUGAGACAAAGAACCUAAGUGCCAAGCAUUGUGUGUAAUUAGAAAGUGUGCAGCACAUUCUUAUGAACUGUGACUCCUCAUCUGUGCUGCACUUUCAUCAUUCAAGACCCGAUCCUGUGAGAUACUGACCAUGAUGCUUGCAGGAUACGGAUGUUGUUGGUAUCACUUGGGAGUUGAAGGUAUGUGUCACCUAGCAUGAGCGUUCUCUUGGGGGGUUAACAUCCGUUACCUCCUUUGGCAUCAGUGUCAGCUGUGAUCCAUCACAGUGCAGUUGCCAAGACAUGCUUUUGUCCAGAUCUCUGUGUUCGGCUUGCAUUGUUCACCUGUGAUGACCUACGUCAUGUACCCCUUCCUUCACCAGGCAGCUUACUGAGCCCAGCACAGCUCAGUUACAGCAGUGACAGACCACAAGGAAGGGGGGGGAGGGUGGGGUUGUAGUGAAGUGGGUUCCUGUGUAGUGAUUAUGGGUUACUUACUCUUUAAAAAAGACUGGUCAGAAAGACAAAACGCGAAAGCCUAAUUCUCCUCCUGGAGGAACUGCAGGCUGAUGAACUGUUUUAUUCAACUCUGUUAAAAGUGCUCAAAGUGUACUUACAACACCUCAUUGAUUAUCGUAACAAAAAAUGCACGAGGGAAUUUUGCUAGAGGCAGGGCCAGCACUGGAAUGUCUGGUAAUUGUGUUACCACUUAAAAUAAAAAAUCUUAGCCUCUGCUUUUAAUCAGCAUCUUUAGUAAAGUUGUUUGUUGGGGGGAGGGGGGGAUGUUUGCCUGUCUCUUUCUUCCCCUUCACUUUCCACAUUGUAAUGGAAAUGUUGGAUCCUUGUGUGCAAUCUUUCACCUCUGACAGCAUGUACUGCAUACUGCACACAGCUGUCAUGGUAAUGACAGGUCUGGUGCACCAGGAUAAUUGGGUACUUGAAGAAGAUUCAUAAGGCAAUAUGCUGCACAGUGCUGUGUUGUGCUCUGGGGCAAAGGGAAAAAAGAGAGAGGGUACCAGGCAGAGUGGGGAGUCUAUUUGUGAGAAAUGAUAAUCUAGCAACAUGACUUUGUUUGCCUAUGAAGUGGUUUCUCUCCUUUCCGCCUGCCCCACAGAAUUGCAUUAAGGGUUUCAAAGUUGGUUCUCACUGCGCGUGAAAUUGGGCGCCAUUUUACCAGCAAUGGAAUUUUGAGGUGUCCCAGCAGAGGGCAGGAGGGGAGAGCUGUGACGAUGCUGUGGCUCUCUGUGGGAAGGAGUUUGGUGUCAAACCACACUGUAAUCUUGCCAUCUGACAGCUCAUUAUUAAGAAACAACAAGAACUGACUUUAUUACAGUAGGCUAUAGUUGGCUUAUCUGCAAAUUAGGAUCUUUUGUUCCCAUGUGACAGAUUCUGUCUGCUUUUCUGGCAACUGUCAUGAGGUGUUAAAGGGGAGCAUAUUUCUAGAGUUUAAUGUGAUAACAAUUAACCUUCAAUCUUUCUUUCUGAUAAGUCUCCUGUUUCAGUAUUACUGAAGUAAUUUGUCAUAGACUGAUGGUGAAGAUGAAAUGCUUGGAGACCGUGUAUUUAUGCUCACUGAUACUGAUAGCUUGCAAAAUUGUAUAUUCAAUGGAUUACUCAUUCAGAUUUUUAUGUUAGUUUCCUUAGAAGGGAGAGAAUGUGCUGGUCACCAUCAAAAGCAGGAAACUGGGAUCCAAACUUCCAUCUGAAUCUCCAGCUUGUUUCUGUCAGUAUGACAGGAAUAAUAGCAUGGUAACUCAGCAGCAUGUUGAGAAACCUGAUUAAUUGCUGUUUAUAUAGCACUUGGGUACCAAUGAAUGACUUAUGGCAGAAAUAUGAAGUACUGAUAGUAGCGGUAGUUUGGGAAAACUAAAAAGUACCUAUAGAAUAUUUUUCCUGGGGAGUUUUUUGUUUUAUCAUACAAAUGGAAUUUUCAUCCAAAGAGUAAAUCAUUCAGAAAUUAAAUCUGUAGUGCAAUCUAUGUUGUAGAUAAUAUAGAUAAUUACACCAUCAGAAUGCCAUACCAUUACUUGUAAACAAGUGCCAACUUGCAGUUAUGCAGGGUAAGGUCAUGUGCCUGCAAAGCUUUUCUAGCAUCACCAAUUUAGACAGUACAGCAAGUGAAAUGUGUAUCAAGGCACCCUUAUCUCAUUAAGAAUAAUGAGGCUGACACUGGAAUUUCUGAAAGAAGUACACCUCAACCACUCAAAUAGUGAAUUAGGCUGAGCUUCCUUUUUUAUCCAUCUCUUGAAAGAACAAAAGCAUUUAUUGUUUUGUACUUCUCACCCUCUGGAAGCCCAAGUUGUUGGAUACUCCUCUGGGUACUUAAUUUAAGUUUUUCAUUUUGCACUAACACGUUCAAAAAGUUAUCUAGAAGCCUGGUUGCUGUCUUCAUAUAUCCUCUGUGUCUUGGAGAUGUAUUUUGAACAUUUUUGGCCUUUAUCUUGAAUAGCUGCUUCCCUUUUUUCUCUCUCUCAUUUCUCUCACCAAAAAAAGGAUCUGAGCUUUUUCGCUGCAACCGUAUCCAAAGAUGUCUUUGUGUUUAGCCAUCCUAGGAGAGAGGGCCUUAGGACAGUGCAGUUCCCAUUGAUUUUAAGUGAAAUGUACAGGUGUUGUCCUGGAAGGUGCAGGGCACUGCCACUUCACAGCAUCCUUGCUGGAAAAUAAUGGCUCUUGGUGCCUUUGAAUGGUUCUCGUUGCCUUGAAGUACCAAAUCCUAACUGUAAGUCAAAAAACAACAUACUGGUAGAAGCCAUGACUUCUUUUGCCUCUGAGUUGCUGUGUUGGCUUUGCAGUUUGAUGACUCCUGACUAAGCCAUUUUUGUUUGUAAAAUAUCAAAAUGGAUAUUUUUAUAGUAGUUCAUAGUGUAUUGGCCUAGUAUAUGUGUAGCUCCCUCAGAUAUCUAGAAAAAUGUAUAUGCACACCCUAAAUAUGUAGGAUGUUUAAUCUGCAAGGCUCUAUUUAUCUAAUAUUCCUGAGAAUGGAACGUAUUUUUUUCUACUCUUAUAGCUGCAGACAAAUGAAAUCUUUGGAUGAUAUUUUUAAGUGCAGCAUGAAGUACAAAGGGUUGUAUUUCUGAUAAUACUCCUGAAAUCUGAUCUAAUGCUUAGUCUUUAUUAGCUGUUGGCACCUCAGUGAUUCAGGCUGUCCCACGUAGUAGUAUGCCUCUGUCUUCUGAUUUUUGAAAGUGUGUCAUGCAGGAAAAUGUCACUGUCCAACUGAAGUCCUAUCUGGGUAUCUGGAAAGCUCUGAGAGCUCUGAAAUCUGAAGCUGGCUUUUUUUUUCUAUUUUUCUUGUUUGUUGUUUAAGAUAACAAUUCUUUUUCUUAAUUUUUGCUUUUUUUUUUUAAUGCAGUGAAACUCAAUCUUAUGUUCACUUAAGGAAAAAAUUACCUAUUUUUUCCUCAGGAAAAUGACUGCUAGCACAAAUUAAAUAUGUUGUGCCAAAAAUCAUAACUAUAUCAUUACAGAAAGUGAUAGCCUGGAACCUUGGUUCAUUUUGUGAAUAUGCUGCAGGUUGGUGAAUAACAGGCAGGUAACCAAAGCCACUUACAGAAAUAACUAAAGACAGUGACCUGGAUUUCUGGCUGCCCAAAAGGUUUGUUUGCAGCUCCUGAUCCAUGUUUCUAGCAUAGUUGUUUGGGUUUUUUUUUUUUUUUGUUGGUUUUUUUUUUAUGAGUUUUUCUCUAAUACAUAAAUUUACUGAUAGAAUACUCAGUGAAACAGAACCACAAUCAUAUUAUCUUGUUUUCUUUAACGUAUUUUUUUUGCAUUGGAUAGUAGAGGAGUAAGAGUUGGAUAUGCCAGGUGGGAUGUUCCACCUACAGUCUGUCCCUGUUGUCCUGCCAAAAAAGCAUGUUGGUUGCAUCUGAGGAUCUGGUUUUAUUUGAAGUAGUAAAGCUGAGCCUUGUGAAGGUAAUGGGUCUUAUGUACCACUCGAAAGAGUGGAGACCUCCUCUAGGUUGGGGAAUCUUUGUUUCAUAUUUCAAAUUUCAUAUACAAAGUGCACGCACAUUUCCUCAAAUGAAUUUAAAUAUCUGUUUUGUUAGCUUAAAGAAUGGGGAUUUUUCAUCUUUACCCAUUUGUUUCAUGCUAGGGAGAUUUUGAAGCUUGGGAAAAGUAGUCCAGUGUAACAAUACCUAAAUUAUUAACUUUUUUCCUUUGGUUUCUGUCUCAUUUUUGCUAAUUAUAGCUGUGCACAUGAGGAACUAAGUCACUGAACAAAUAAAGACUAAAACUUACAAACUGUUUUGUCACAAAGUUCACUGCUGCUAUUAGUAGACUUUAGUCUUAAGAAGUAUAUAAAAUGCUAUUAAUCAGAGAGGUUUAUUUUUAUGUGAGGUUUUUGAGAACCAUUAUCCAUUUGCGAAUAAUUUUUAGGAAGCACCUUACCUUGUUUUGAGUGAAAAAAAAUGUUAACUUUUAGCCCUAGCAAGAGAAUACAGUAAAAAGCGUAUUUCUACAACACAACCAUUUGAUCACAAUACACUGCUCAGUAACAGCCUGAUAUUUGACAUCUGAAUUAUAGAGUUUAUACACAUACCAAAUUAUCUAGAAAUUAUAAUCUGUAAUUAAUGGUUUCAUUUUAAUAUCAACUAUAGAGAAGCGUGAAUGGUUGAAAUGAGAGAACCUAUGCUUACCUAGUGAAUGUCUUUUAAGUGCUCAUUAAUUCACUGCUUGUUCAUCUUUCUUCAUUUGUCUUUUUUUCUUUUCUUUUGUUUUUUUGUUUCUUGUUUGUUUUUGGUUUUUUUCUUUUCCUUUUGAAGACCUCUGUUGCAGCACCUUUUUCUUAGUGCUUUGAAUUUAUAUGCAAAACUGGGAGCUAGUCAGGUUGACCUGUAUUUGAAGAGUGAUAAAUGUCUUGUUUAUUUGGAUGGCAGUGAAUCACUCUUAAGCUGUAAACACAGGUCUCUGUCAUUACUGGUCAAGAAAAUAUAUCCGAAGAAAUCUGCUUCCAUUUCUGGAGAGCCCUGUAGGUUCCCCAGCAUGGGCUUCUGUUGUAAACUUCAGGGCUCUUUUCACCUCCGUUUUGCAGCCCUUUCCCCAUAGUAAGCUGCUGGCAGCAUCAAUAGGUCAUAGAUUCUUCAUUUUUGCUGCAAUUUAGUCUUCUCGAGGGCUCUUCAGCAUAAUCAGAGGGGAUAUCCAUGGAAAUUGGACAGCCUGUUUUUUAUGGUAGCUGCUCCUUGACUGCUCUAGUUUCUGUCCUAUGCAUGCUCAUCACUCACAAAGAAUGUGAGGUAAAAGUACAAUCAGAGGUGCCUGAGGAAGAGCUUGAAGAGGACAGCAGCUCCUUUAUCCUUUGUCAGUCUUAUCCUGCUCAUGUAAGUCUAGCUCAUCUUCUCGCUUGCUUUCUCUUUCCUUAUUUUGAUUGGACUCCUGGGUCAGUAUCCAGAAAGCAACAGAACUGUAACUGAGCUAUAAAAGUAAUUUAAUAAUCAGUGCACAUGCAAUGUUUUGAUUCAAUCAUGUUACCUGAGCACUUUUUAGGAGAUAUGGGAACAGGGCAGGAACAGAUAGGCAAGGAACUGGCUGAGGGCUGUUCAGAUUUUGUUGACAUUUUUGUCAUGUGGCAUGCUCUGAAGUAAUAGAGUUACUUCUCAGAGGAACUAGUGCAUUCAUUUAUGCAGGUGGAGGCUUAAUGCUACCAGAUUGGCAAUAGCAAAGACACUAUUUAAAAGUGAGGUGGAAUAAAACGCCAUAUUCUUGAAAAACAAUAUUUGAAGCAAUGCUGGUAAAUGUGAUUUGCUCGUGGUAAAUUGAAAUCACUGAUUAAAUUACAUCUCUGACUAAUAAAUUCACUGGGGCAACAAUGCACUGCAGAUGCAAACACAGCACCGCUCUAAGGCAUAAAGUUAUCUAAUUGAUGACAAAGAUAAAUCAGAGUAGUAGCAAGCAGCUUCUUAAUGUACUUGCACAGAAUUCUUUACAGCCAGUGGGAAAAACUCCUUCUCUGUGUACCCUUCACUGCAGAAGGCAACCAUGGUGUCUGUCAUGUUUACCCACCUGAGUUUCUGAUGCCUUAUGGUUUCUCCAGCUUGCGAGUUCUUUUGAAGGAGUUCAACAGUUAUCGUGUCUUGUUUUUAGUAUAGUAGAGGGAGUGCAGAUCCCCAGGUUGAAUUGAGACCUCUCAAAAUAAUGAAUGAACUCCUGAACCAGCUCUAAUGAGGAGCUGCAGUUGUUUCUAGUCAGUGCAAAUGCCUGUGUGGAGGAGAGAGGAGACACUCUUAAGAGAUGCUUCCCUGGAGUGGACAUCAAAUCAAAGUCCAGUUUCAGUCCAACAGGUGAGCAGCAGUAAUUGUUAUGCUAAAAAUGUAGCAUGAAAAUUAUCCUUCCUCCAUAGAAUACUUUAUAGUAUACUUAGUUACUGCUUUGGGCUGCCUUUGGAUAACUGCAUGGGUUGAUGUAGUUAGCAAAGAUAUUAUGCUCAAAAAUAUCCAUUUAUUGCAUUAAAAAAAGUAUCUGAUUCUUCAGGCUCUUGAAAUUUAUCUCUGGGAGAAAUCAACAGUAACUUGGUUAUCUUCUUCAGGCUUAGUUCUUCAUUUCUGUAUUAAAAUAUCUCUUAGAUCAGCGACAAGUUUAGUGCAAACAGGUAAGCAUCAUGACAUAAACUAUGCUGUCUUAUCUGCUGCUAUAUGCAGAUGAAAGCUUCUUUUCUACUCUCAGUGCCAUCGAGUCAGGCUCCAGUGUGACUGCUGCACUGAAGGUACUUAUUAUUCCUCUACACGUAGCUGAACCUAACUUGUCCUGCUGUCUCAAGCUGACAAUUAGUAAGGAUCUCGUCACUUCACAGAGGUUAUACUGUGCAUCUUCUUUGAGUUCUUGUGAUUGAUAUUCACAGGGUUUCUGCAGACUGAAGCUUGAACAUAAAUAUGCAUGUUCAAGUAACAGAAACAAACUUAAGCAUCAUUAGAAAUCCCAGAAGCUCUUUCAGCUGUGUAGCUGUUAAAGGCAACCUCCUGUCCCACAUAAGGCAAAGUGUAAGAGAAUAUAAAUGUGUUACAAAUGCAAGUAACUGUUACAUUUGACAAAAAUAACAAAACACAGUCUGAAAAUGACAGUGAUGAACCUUGGCAGGCAUUACAGCCUUUUUAUGCUAGCGUGAGCUGUCUGGUUUUUCACAGUUCUUUGUAAGUUCAGAGCUGCAAUUUAGUGGGAAAAACAAGUCAUCUUCUCUGGCUGAGGUGGAAGGGCUAAUGGUUCAACUUUUCCUAUCUCAGUAAGUUGUUACAAAAAGAGGCAAAAAUUGCCUUACUUGAAGUGAUUGUGUAUUUCUCCAGAGGCACAAUGACUGAGUAAUCACGAUAACCUUAUUGACUUAUUUUACCUGCCUUGUUGAGUGGACAUGUCAUUCAAAUGAAUGCUAGUCAGUAUUGUACAGUCUUUCACAGCGUGUUGCUCCUUUUUUUCAUCCUGAAGUGCAACUGCAGGUACUGAUGAGUUUGUAAAGAGAAGUGGGGUGUGUACCAGGGGAAAUGGUUUGUACUGAAUGGGAGACAGGAGUGGGAGGAAGCUAUUAAAAAAAUUGCAACCAUUAUAUACUUAGUAAGAUAAGUAGGGCAGUUCACAUCUUCAUGAAAAAUUUUCUUUGCUAGUGCAGCAGAGUGUUCUCUAAGCUCGCUUGUAGAUACAUAGAAAUCUACAGAUUGUACCCAACGAUGUUCAGUUUUGAGCUGAAGUAACUGAAAUGAUAUUGAAGCAGAUAAGGUAGGUUUGCCCUGAUUGUCUGAGGUUCGGGUAGCCCUUGUUUGAGCCAUUAACCAGCAUCUUUGAAAAGAGUUUCUUCUGCAGAGGUGUUGUACUGAAGAUAUUUUUGAGAUAAAACUCGACAUGUUUUUGUGCGCAUAGCCAUUAACUCAGAGUCUAAGAUUACUGUACACACAAUAUGAAUUUGUGUACUGAAAGCUAUCCAUAACUAUAUAUGAAUAUGGAUAUGAAAGGCUUUUUUUUUUUUUUUUCCCCUGAAGUGUACCGUCAUGCUCGUGGUGGCAAAGUAGAAUGGUGAGUCCAUGUUAGCCUUGAAUAUUAUCAGAGCAGGUGGCUUGGGAGGUAAACUAAGAACUAACUCAUUGGCUCUCUAGUCUAGAGACUGAAAAAAAAGCGGCGAGGGACUGGCAUGACAUUUGUGGAGGGUUACAGAGCCAUCUCCCACUUCGGGAGUGGGUUGUGUAUCUUGAAGUCCUUUGCAAUUCCUUGUUCAGAACUGGCUGCUCUUAUGCAUGAGGAGAGGUAAAUUUCCCCUGUAAUGAGUAUAACUAACCGUAGCACUAAAAUACAUUAUUUAUUACAAAUGGCAGCAGUGGAAAACCUCCUGAGAUUACUGUUGUGGCUGUGUGCUAUCACAUGCCUUGACAUCCCCGUUCAAGGGAUUAGCGAUUCAAAGAGAAUGCUCAAUGAGCUGAUUAAAUCAAAUAAACAGAUUUUUAAUUCUCAUUAAAAAACAUUGAAUGGAUGGUGCUUUUACCAGCAGAGGAGAGAAGAUGUCUAAUAAAAAUCUGCCGCUGUAAUUCAGAAAAUUUAAGGGACUGUUUAUAUUAGGAAUAGUGGGCAAAUACAAGUGUAUCCUGCUGAAUGUUACAAACCUUUUGCAUUAUAAGCAGCUAAAAUGCCAAGACAGAUUUUAUAUUAAUCAGUCAAAAUGCAGAAAGUAAAAUCUAAAACCUUAUAUAGCAGCAGAGGAUAUUCCUCAGGGGCUACUUCUGGUGGAAUUGCCUGACUUGCCACUGCACAAUCCAGGUAUCCAGCUAUUGAUUUUAGUCUAAUUAUAUGCUUUUUAAUAGUGGUUUACAUGUGUUCCAGAACUGGUUUCAGGAACGGAGUAAGGCAGUUUAGAAACAAAUAGUGUACAGGGGCAAUCAUGAAUUGAGGUAGAUCAACUCAGAAUUGUCUUUGAAUUGUUGUGAAACAAUUUUGUGCGUAAGUGAUGGGAGGAUCACAUAAUCAGCCAUUUUAUUGCAGUCAUAAAUACAUUUUACUUAGCAUUUUUCCAUUAUAAACUAACAUCUAUUUUACUCACUGUUUGGAGUCCCAUGAAAUCGGAAUUAAUAUGUUCAUUUAGUUUGCUUGUGAAAUGUUUUGAAAUGUUUUUAAAAAAGAAGGGCGGCUUAUUUUUCAGGCUGGAGCAAAGAGAGAAAAGGGAGGAACCCAGGAAAAAAAAAGCAGCAGGGAGAAUUAGAUGAAUACCAUCUUGGGCUUGUCAAUCUGCUUUCUUCUUUCCUUCAUCCAUCUUCUUUUCAUCCUCCUCUUGGCCAUCUGCUCUGGCGGCAGCUCCCUCAGGUGUCUGGGAAGAUGAGCACGUGUAGCAAAUGGUUUCCGUUUACUGGAGCUAGGGCUUGUUCUCUCAAGCAAAUGCCAACCCCUAUGACCACCUUCUGAACCUAAUACUUCACAAAAAUUUCCAUAAGAAUUUAGGAAAAGAACAGUCUUGUGUGUCAGUAUAAUGUAGGCGCAUGGUGGUCAGAGACUUUACUAUAUUCCUCUAAGCAGCUGUAGAAUUUAAAUUACUGCAUUUGAAAUGUUCUUCAUUAGAUGAGAAUUACAAAGCAAUCUGCAGAUGGGGAAGGAGGUACAAGAAGAAGGAACAAAAAGCAAAGCAAACGAGAACUUUCGAGGCUCUCGGUAUUGUUAUAGACUACUUUAGGGUGAACAAUAUGCAUGGAAGUUAAUGCACCUUGGAUAUAUGUACAUUAGGAAGGAGUACAUGCAGUAUGCCUCACAGAACCCUUAGCUUGCUAAUUUUCACACAUUUAGCAAGAACAGUGCUUGCAAAUCAAUAUUUGUGGGUAACCUUUUACAAGAGGGGUAAGUAGAGACUUGCAGAAAAUAGAUAUUGUGUCAUUUCCUAUCCAGUUUCUAUAAUAAUGGAAGGAAGAUUGUUUUUUCUCUUCAAUCAAAUUGCUAGUGAUUUUCCUAAGUGAGCUCAUCCUAUUUCUUUACUUUCUCCUCAUCCACAGCAUGAUUCAGCACACAAUAUAUUUUUUGUAGAGCUAGUUCACCUUAGCACUGGUCUAAUGUAGGAAGAGAAUGUUUUACGGAGGAAAUGGUAUCAGAGCAGUAUAUUUUGAGGAGGGCCUGAGAUACCAGUCUGUAGCAGCAAGUACCCACAGACCAUGAAAGUUGUGGUCCUGACUCAUUUUGGAAAAUGAGUAAGUCGAGGCUAAUUUACACAGGGAAUUUUUCAAAAAAAAAAACCCACCUUAGAACCAAAAUUAUUCAUUACAAUGAUUAUUUUGAGAUUUUCCCUGUCAUUACUCUGAAGCACAUCAAAAUCUUUGUGUGCAUGCAGCUUCCUUGUCUUUCCUGAGCUUCCACAAUACAGCAACUGAACAGUCAUAUGGACAUCUGACCUUGUUUGUAGAUAAUUUCAUUGUAAUUUUUUCCUAGUAAUUACCCCCGAUGAAAUGCAAAGGUCUGAAAAUAUUAGGAAAUGAGUAAUGGAAUGAUACCGGAGACUUUUAAGUGACCAAUGAGUCAUGCAGAUUCCAUGUUCAGCUUGGAUUAUAUCCUUAUCAAAUUCUUCUUUUCUGAAUCAUCUGGUUAACUAAUUGUGUAUUGUUCCCUACUGAAGAAUGCUACAAUAGAUUAGAUUGCUUAGAAAACCCAGUGUGGAUAGGAGUGAUAUAUAGAUUCUUAAACAAAUACUUAAAUAAAUACUUAAAGACUGUGGGUUCUUUUCUUCCUUAGUGUUUGUAAAUUAUCUGUUGGUUUGAUCUUUUUUUUUUCUUUCUCUGUCAGUCUCACUCUAAUCCUUCAGUUUAUUAGGAAUAAAAUAAAAACAAAUGAAAAGGUUGAAUUAUAUCUAAAUUACUGCAUGGAAUUAAGAUGUAAUUGCAAAAUAGGUAUAUUUUUCUGACCCUCCCUUUCCCAGUGCCUCCUGAAUGAUUAAGUUGUGUUUAUUUCUAAUUAGAAAAGCCACAUCAGACUAAGCCACAAAGCACGUCAAAGAGUAUGCAAAUAGCACAGGGUACUUGAAAACCCAAGGCACUUUGCCUUUAAAUACUGUGCAUGGUUUAUUAAACUAUAAUUGCACUCUCUGAAAUGUUCUAUUGCAGUUAUAUCCAGGGUUAUUAAUUAAAAGAAACUAUAAAUGAUAAAAGAUAAUGUUGCCUGUAAAAAGCUGUGAGAUUUUAGAGACAGGCAUUCAGGCAAAAAGUCAUUUGUGAGGAAAGCUCCCACUGAAAGAAAAUCAGUUGUUUGGAUCACCUUCUGGGGAAGUGAACCUGCAUCCAUCCUCAACAAGCUGGGAACUGUACAUAGAACACAGUCAGCCAAAGAGGAAGGAUAGUAGGUGAUGGCAGAUGCUUAUGCAAAUUCAUUGAUAGCUGCCCAUGUGAGGAAGCUCUGAUUUUCCCAGUCAUAUCGUCAGGGGGGGAGGGAAGAAGUUUGUUGUAUUUUUACUUGUUAGAGUUACCAUAAUGUGGACGUUAUUUGGUGUUCUUGAAAACAGGUUGCAGGUGAGGAAAGUUCUGGCAGCAUCACCGGCAUUUUACUCUCCCCUUCUACUAGAGAUGGUGAUAUGCAAAUCUUGUCUAGUUAGGGAUGGCUCUUUAAAAGAAUAAGUGUUUAUGCACUUCUCAUGGAAGUAUACUUUCCAUUUGCUAUAUAAUAAUGCCUCUUUUUUUUAAUAAUUAUUGAGCUGCAUUUUAUGAUACAUAGAUCAGACCUGAUAUGGCUGUCUGCUGAAGUAAGAAAGAGACCUAUAAACCACAACUCAGUCUUGUAUGACUUCACUUUAGGAUCUUGUUUCUGGAUAUAACCACCCUGAAAAUAAAGGAUUUCAGUUUGACCAGAGCUUUCUGGUAGUGAGGGAUUGGUUUCCUGGGUCCUUUUGUGUGAGAAUACACAUAUAGUUCUCAGAAAUCAUCAUGCUGCGGAACUGUACUGCUGAGAUGGAGCAUCUUGAAACAUUUGUUUUUUUCUUUUCUUUUGAGGUAUUCCUCCAGUGCGAACUGCUCUUUCACACGUAAUUGCUUUGCAUCUGAUGUUAGAAAAUAAAUCUGGUGGUGCAGCGUGGGUUUCUGCCUGCAUGUGUAUUCUCAGACCAUAAAGAGGCUUUUUUCAACUUCUUCAUAUAUAAAUGUGGGAAUACUUUUUAUUCUACUUCAAAGAAUCCUACCAUUAGCUGCCUUUGGGAGAGAGGGAAUGAUGUCCAUCAGAUUACUCAGUGCGUUUGUCUCCAACAACAAUUUCUCUGCUGCAGGAAGAUCAGUCGGCGUGCAGAGUGCUUCUGCAAAGAUAAUAACACAGUAGCUGUUCUCUCCUCUAAGCAUUACUCUGUUGGUACAAGUCGUAAGGUUGCUAACUCGAGAAGAGUGUUCAAGUUACGUAUUUUCAGCAUAUGGCUUUCAUUUAAUUCCAGAGAGACAGAGGAAGCUGACAGAGGGUUAGGAGGUACUGGCAAAGGACGGCCUAAGAGCAGCUUCUAUAAAUCAGUUUUAGUGUUAGCCUUCCAGGUGUAAGUAAUUCUUAUGGUCAAAGGGGCUUAUGGAAUUAAUGGAAAAAUGUACAAAUAAUAAAUACAACGAACAGAAGGACAGCUUUUUAUGAUAAAGAAGAUUCUACCUCCUGUUUUUUUUUCCUUCAUCUAUUUUAGAGGAGAAUAAGGUUGAAUGUUGGCUAUUUUUUUUUAAUACUAAUUGUAAUGUGUUUUUGUUUGAUAGUGUCUUUUAAUUGAGAAAACUGGAAGUGAAGAAAAAACAUUCUUAGAGGUAUUCUUUUUUAUAUGUUUCAAUGAAAAGUAGAACCAAAUCCUCACCUUCUGUUAGAAAACUAAAACAAACAAAAACCCCAAACCCAAAGAGUACCAAACUCCCUAAAUUCACCUUCGUAUGGUCUCUUCCAGAGUCUGUCAGGUAGAAAUCCAUUUGGAAUAGUAAGAAGGUUGAGUAUCUCAGACUGAGGGAUGCUGGAAGAGAGCGGCAUUUCUUGGAAAUGUCACUGCUGAACCCAUUCUUCUCUUAGGAAAAAGGAAAAGAAUGCGACUUUUUCUUUCUGUCUGUCUUUUUUUUUUUUUUUUCCCAACAAAGCCAGUAAAUGGAAAAUAAUAAUUUUUAUGAACUGCCAGAAAAUGGAAUACAUCCCAGAAUGAAGCAGGAGCUGGCCACUUCACUGUUGCCAGUGAUCUCUGGAAAACUCACAGAUGUAAAAAUCUGUAUUAGUAUAUGACCGUAUCUCCUCCCUGCUUCUGAUAGAGGCCGUGUUUCACUUCCUAUUUCUCUCAUUAUUUCUAUUGGAGAUAUGUCAGAUUUAGGAACUCUCGGAAGUAGCUGAGAAUAUCUUUGAAGUUUGUUCUGAAAUAGAAUAUUUAUUUUUUAAAAACUUCUAAUAAUCUAGUUGUUCAGUAUGUAAGUGAUGGAAAGAAAAUAUUAUGCCUUUCAUCACCAGGCUAUGAAGAAUUGAUAGCAUGGUGUUUCAUUUGUAUGAAUAGAAAAGCCAAGUUUAAAUCAAGUUCAAUUCUAUUAUUUUAACAGUGCUUUGGACUCACUAGCAGCUCAUUGGUAUGGUCAGGACUUUAAAAGCUCAAACAGAAAUCAUUUAUUUAUUGCUGAGAACCUAGAUUAUCGUUACUGUAAGUUUCUGGACCAAAGCAUAUGUGUAAGUAAGUAUUUAAUUGAAGAGUAUUAAGAGAACACUGGAGAGAGUCUGCCAUAAGGGUAUAAUAAAAGUGAAGUCAUAUUACCAUAAAAGCUUCAGAUUUUGGCACACGUCGACUGCUUUUAAAUCCUUACAGAAGUUUAGAAGCAAGUUUUUUGACUCUAUACAUAAAGGAGUAGCGAAGAAUUGGAUUAUCUACAUUGUGAGACUGCAUUGAGAUUGAAUACAAGGAGCUGUGAACUGAGUGCUUGAAAGUGGGAAUUACUGCAUCUGAGGAGAAUUUCCAGACUUUAAUGUGUACAUUUCUGGAGAAGAGCAUAGUUUAUACCCCAUAAAUCUCAAGAAAAAUUGCUAGUAAGAUUGAUGGUUUGGAGUUAGUAAUUUACAAUGAAGCUACAAGUACAAGAAUAAAACAGAAGUGUAGCAAAUUAGACAGGAAUGGCAAAAAACUAUUUACAAAACUGAAGAAGAUGGGAGUUAGUAUGUGAAAAAUUAUAAAGCUGGAUAUCUGACUAACUGGACAGUGGGUUGUAGUAAAAAAAAAAAAAAAAAAAAAAAAAAAAAGGAGAGAGAAAAUACUGGCUUGAGGGGGAAACAGGGAAACAGCAGUGGAAUUUCCCAAAGAUAAGGAAGUUAAUGGAGUGUGUCAUAUUUUCAUCAAUAAUUUUUUUAUCAAGUUCUCUUACUCUGCUUUUACAGUUGUCACAAGUUUGACAAGGACUGACAACAGAGAAUUGAGGUAGGAUGGAAAUGGGAAGAACUGGAUGAACUUGAUUAUAUUGAUUAUAACAGAAAUGCAAUGAAAUUCAGUUCUUGCAAAUGCAGGAUAAUUCCUGUGGAUGCCAUGAGCUUUCAGAGAAUGCUUUUAUACUGCAUGCUAUAUAUAUCCUCCAUUUCAUAGCAUGAAAUAGCCAAUGUGGUAGGCUAAAACAUGGGCUUAUGAUCAUUUCGGAUAUUACUGUUUUAUGAUUUUUUUUCAUUUCAAAGUAAUAGUAGUAGCAGUGAUGGAGAUCAUCAUUAUGUCCUUGGGCUGAAGAGGCAGCAGACAUAUCUUGCUGCUGUGUGGCGUGUACAUGACAGUAGGGAGAGUUCUUGGACUUGUUUUAUUUAGCCUUGCGGUCUGCCAGUCCCAUCACUGAAGUGCCCUCUUCAAACAGAAGCUAUCAAAUAAGACCUCAUACAGCCCCAGUGUACAUCCAUAAGUCUGGCUGUGGUAUUGGGCAGUAUGAAGCAGUGCACUUUGGUGGAGGUGGAAGGGCAUCCAUGACAUUGUACAAAGCAGUAGAGAGCCUUCACCUGACAGCUUUGUUUAGCUGUGUUCAUGGGAAAUGGAUUUGAACUAGGAUAGCUGGAGCUAGGAUAAUUAAGUGGGAAGUUUGCCAUGCGGAGUGGACCAAAAAAAAAAAAAAAAAGCCUUUUUAAAUGUAGACUGAUUAAGGCUGAGAACAGCAAUUUCUUCUUCAGGGGCACCAGAGAAGAUGGAGAAGUAGCUGUUUCAAGCUAAAAGUAGUAUGAGAUAAAAAUAAAUGCUACAUAAUUGUCUCUGAAUUUAUUUAGCUUCUGGAGCAAUGUGCCAAGAGUAGCAGAAAGGGGAAAACAAAACAAAAACAAACACAAAAGCAAUUGGUUAGGUUAGUUUAUAUGAAUGAUGGGUCGGUAGUAACUUAGGAAAAGAAUGAUGAUCAGCAUAGAAGUUUAUAUGAUAGAACUGCCUGCUGUCCCCAAACUGUCUCUUCCAGGUUUACCUUCUUAUUCUGCCUAGCAGAACUAUUUGGCCAGUCAAAGAUAAGCAAAAACAUUCAGGACGAGGCCAGCAGUAAUAGCCUCUGGGUAAGCUGUACUGGGAAGAAGCUGCAAAAGUGCUCAGUGAUUAUCUUGUGUGAAAGAAUUUUUAAAAUGUGUACAUCAUGUUGAAGAAAUUAUAUGAAAAACAAUGCCUGAUAUAUCUUCUUAAUUAAUCAUUGAAAUUUAAAAACAUGAAGUUUGAGUAACACAAAGAAUACUUAAUGUAAUGCCAGCAUUUUCCCAUUUUUAUUACCAUCCUUUUUCAAAGAUUAAAUGAAGUUUUGAAAUAAAUAUAGGCUUAUUUCAUUUUCAUACCAUGGGAAACGAGUAAUAUCCUCCAAGGACUCGUGUUUCUUUCAUCCUUCAUUUUAAUUUGGAUGUAGCAUAAACUUAUAUUUCUUACAAAUUGAAAAAAUAUUUUGUAGUUAUUUGUGUUCAUGACUAAAUUAAUUGUAUGAGCCCUGCAUGUUAUUAAUUACAACUUAAGAAUGGUAGUGCUUUCAUAGGCUAUAUGAGAUCUGUGAUAUAAAUUGACUACGAUUUUCCAGUUUAUUUUUGUAAAAGUUUAUAAAUAUUUAAUGUAUUUUUUAAUUAGAAUGUUCUUUUAAAGACAGCCUAUUUGGCACACAAGAAUAUUUCAUGAUUCGUUUUUUCCCAUCACCUUUUCAUUUUAUUAUGUGGUGGUUCUGGGGAUUGUGAUUACUGAAGUUCAUCCAGAUGUUAAGAGAAUAGUAUUAGGUUAGCCAAAGUUUACCAAAUAAAAGUAUGUCGCAACUUUGAGUAGUAAGAUUAUGCUCAACACCUCAAUCAAUUCUGCAGUCUUGUUUUAGGUGCUGGAACCUUUUGGGGUUCUUGAAGAUAUUAUCUGGAGAACGUGAGAAAUUGGGAAUGUUUGCUUUCCAAGGCCUUGUAAUCAGUUACGCUUUACUUUUCCCAUUCAACGAUCGGAGGAUUACUGGGCAAAUUCUAAAGGGAGGAGUUCAGUAAUAGAGUAAGAAGGCACUUUGUCCUGAAGCCUUGAGUGCCCUGUUGCUGCAGCUCUGCAGGAGAGGCUUCCAGCCCUGCUGCCUCCUUUUGGGUAUUGAGUUUUGGUGUUGGUUGCUGAGAGCUGUUGAGUCCCCACACUAGCCAUAGCUGCAGGUGUAUGGAAGGGUGAGUAAAGAAAAUAUCCCUAAUGAAGGAUUAAUGCUGAGAAAUUAAUUCAUAUGAUUUACAUGUUCAUACUUUACCAUGCUAAAUAUGUUAGCAGUGUAUGUAUUAUCAUUUUUGAUAGGAAAAUACUGGAAAAUCAAGCUCAAUUCUUCUUAUUCUUUUGGUUAACUCCAAGAUAUUUUCAUGUUGCAUCUUGUAACAAGCUGUUAGGACACUUGCAUGAGAUUUCAGCUGGGAUUCAGUCCCCAUGCUGAUUCUGUCAGACCUUUUUGCUAAGUUAGAGCCCUGAUUGGAUGGUGUUGGAUAUGGAGUGUGCCCAAAGCCACUUAGGAUGCUACUGUGUUAUUUCGCCUCCCUUUCUCUUUUGCAGAAGAGGAAGAGUGGAGAGGCUCAUUCUAAUGGUGUAACAUUAGACUCGUCGAAAUGUUAACCUGAAUGUGGUAGUGGGUUGUUAUCUCAGAAGCAGGCAAAGGGGUGACUGUGGUGCCAGAUGUCAGCGUUUUAGCAGUGCAUACAGCAGCUCUCACCCAUUCUGAGGCAAACCCUUCCAUCUGAUUCACAGGCAGAGUCUCACAGCUCAGAUUGCUCGUGCACUUAGGGAGAAAUAUAGACAGAUAAUGAUUCUUUAUGCAAGCAUGUAUUUAAAUGAGAAUAAUGCAUCUGACUCGUUACUAGCUCUUGAAGGAAGCAAGACUUAAUGGUAACUGUUCAAAAGAGUGUCUCACUCCAAUUUAUAGGAGGAAGAGGAGGUUCUUUGAAAUAUGUAUGCCCGGCGUGAGAUUAAGAAACAACGGUUCAAAUGUUGGUCCGACCAGUUUAUUACAAAUGUUAAUAAGGGAGAUGAAGAAGAAAGGGGAGGACGGGCACUAUUACAGGUUAGGGUGAUGGGGAAGGGAAGGUGAGCAAUAGAUAACAUAGGAAGAAGCAAGAAUUGCGUAAAGCGGGGAUAGUCACCACUGGGAUCCGGCAGUAGUCCCGUUGCACGACGUUCCGAUGGUCUGAGGCCGAAGGGCAGGAGCAGCGAGGCCGGUCUUGGGCAACGAGAGGGUGCAGGUACCGGGUGGGUCCAGGAAGAAGCCACAGAGUAAGCCUGGGAGGAAGCAGCAGGUCUCAGGUAGCAGGCCCAGGGAAGUCCAUCAGCAUACGGUCCGUAGUGAGGGAUCUGAUGGCAGACCCCUUGAGUCCAUCAGCAUGCAGGACUUUUGUAGUGAGGGAUCUGAUAGCAGAAACCUAUCCUCAUGGUUGUUAGACCCUCUUUUAUCCUCCCUUUUUCCUGCCUACGGGACAUCCCUGGGUGCUUGGGCAACAGUCAUGUGCGUACCUCCUGAGAUGGCCACCUUCCUCGAGAUAAGUCCACACAAAAUACCGUUUCCUGGCCAUUAUCAGCAGCUUAUCCCUCUCCUUUUCUCUGGCCUUGUCCAUCUGUGCUCCUAAAAGGAUUUCACAACCCUUAGCCAGGACCUGUCUAUCAGUGUCCUCUAGACAGAAGAUUUCUCUACCUUUGCCCAGGACUUGCCUGGACUUCUUCCUCAGCAAACUUCGAGUCAAUUAUAUAAAAGAAUAAUCUCUUACAAAGAGCAAGUGCUUGGAAGAAAUAUUUUGGAAGAAAUUUAUUUUCUGUUAGCUGUAUUUUGUUGGAGCAGCAGUGUUUUGUUGGAGCCUGCUUCAUGUGUGAAAUAGGAAAAUAGAAAAUAAAUGGAGAAGUUCAUACUGACAUAAGACACAAUGUUCCAGUACUUAAAACAGUCUUUAGUAGAUUUUUGCAUUUUUCAUUAAAAUUUACCGUCCUUGGUAAGAAAAGAGUUGAUGUGAAAGUAAAGAGUGAUUAAUAUGAUUCCACUGAUGGAAAUGAUACAGACUUGCACACUGAGAAAGGAAUGACUCUAAUGAAAAUUCCCAAUAGCAGAGAGCAAAAGAAAUAGAUGUGUCCAGCAACGUUUUAGUAUGCCAGGCUACUGUGAGCUACAAUGUAUGAUAGCUCCAAGAUCAAUAAGAAAAUCCAUUUUGGGGAAACAAAGGAUGAAAAAAUUGUGGAAAAGAUGUUGGUUCCCCAAUAGACUCUUUAAAAAGCCAUUUUCAAUUUCUGGUGAUGCAUCAAAAGAAAGAUAACAUCAUUUUCUAUAGUGGUGCUCUCCUAAGGCAGCGCACAUGAAUAUUUUCUACACUGAAUAAGAUGAAUCAUCAGAUGCAAUUAACUUGCAUCUAACUCCUUAAUUUUGCAUAGCAGUAAAUGCCAUUAGCAGAUCUGAUCUUUCCUUUAUGAUAGAUUGUAUCAGGUCUUUUGUCUCAUAUCUGUGUCUGUAUGGAGACCAAUUAAUUUCAGACUAGUUUCUACAGGGGUUUUUGCUGAACCUUUUUUCUUUUUUUCCUAAUGCAUGUGUCUUGUCAGGGAAAAAUAAUGUUUUGUGCUCUUCAGUAGAAGCCAAACUCAAUGAGCUAUAGGAAGUUGCUGAGGUCCCACUUAUCAAAGACUGAUACAAAAAAGGAAGUCCAAUUUAUGGAUUCAACAGUGAGCAGAAAAACAGGCAUAGUAGAGGGCUUUCAGUAUAAGAUAUGUGCAAUGCAUGAGAUAAAUUAAUAUGGAGAAAUGUGCAUUUUGCAAAUAACCAAGUAGCUAUCAGGUGUUACAGUUGUCUUCAGGUUUCUAGAACACCUUUUGACAUACUGCUUCAUAUACUGUUUCAUUAAGUGUAAGUGGCGCAUAAGUUCCAUAACCAGUUUUAUACUGUGUACUUCUAAGAUAAACCAAAAACAAUCUUAUAAAGAAAUUAUUAUUAAAUAAAGGCAAAUAGUUCAACAGUAUGACAUUCCUUGUGUGCACAAAUAGGGUUUUUAAGAAGGUUUUGAAGUAUUUGGUUAGUGAAAAAGUAAUGGAGCACACAGCCUGUUUUCUUUGUAACUGAAAUUUCCUGGGCAUUUAAGCAGUCAUAUGACCGCGGAGCAAAUGAGUGAUUGCUGUCAUAUCUAGCUAAUCAAGCUUUCUGCAGUGAGCCAUAUUUGAAAAUUCUCCAUGUAUAUGGGAUGUUGCAAGCUACUUUUGAAUUUCUUCUCACGCAUUUUCACAACAGUCUGGUACUGUGUAUUUGCUAAUAUUCCCAAAUCUCAUAAAAGAGAGCGUGGAGGAUGAAUAGUUGG
rnacentral:lncRNA from 1 species